GCCCCCAUCUUCUAGUGGCAGAGGAUAUCGGAUUCUCAGUCCGAUGACGCGAGUUCGAAUCUCGCUGGGGGUA
rnacentral:tRNA from 1 species